CUGGGAGUGGCGCGGCUGCUUCCCGCCCGCGCAGGAUCAGGCCGGCCCCCGCGGGCCUGGAGCUGGAUCCAGAGCUAGGGAAACUGGAAAAACAGGCACAAACUCGGAAGCCGCGGUACGGCAAGAGCCUAAGCAAAGAAUCCUUUCCAAGAUUCACACCUCGUCUACACCAGGGCACCGCCUGGGCCUACGGCCUUCCGAACCCGAAGCGCCCGCAGCCCAGAGCUGGCAUCAGGCCAUCAGGCCGGGAAGGUCGUCGCAGGCCCCAGAGUGCGGGCGCGGGGGGCGCGCGCCCACAGGACGCCCGGGGUUGGGUAGGCAGGAGAGAAGGGCGCCAGCAGGCCCGCGGCUGUUUCCCCUCGGUCCGCACAGCGGGCCCGGGAGGCCAUUUUGAGAGCGCGAAGAGGGGCGGCAAGAUGGCUGCGUGGGCACCCGGAAGGUCGCCGCGCCAAGGGCCCGCUGAGCCCCUCCUCCCAUUCGUCCAGCCGCGCGGCCCACAGAAGCGGAACGCGCGUCGAGAGCGCCCUGUCCGCUCGCCCCAGACAGAUGCCCGGUUAUUCAUUACCGCGAGGCCUAGAGGAAAGAGUGGCUGCCGUCUUCCUGCCCACAGCCCGCCGGACCCUCCGUCGCGGCUGCCCGGUCCCCGGAGCCGCAGCCGCCGAGCCCGGCUGUGCGUGUCGUGGCUGCUGGGGAGAAAGAGGCUUCCGGACAUGCUCUGGAGUCAGAAGACAGCGAAAAGAGAAGCAGAAGCCCCGGUGGCAAGAGUCUGAAGCAGGAAGGAUGACUGUAGCCUGUGGAUUGUACUGCAGUAGGAAACUGUCCUAGCAAGGCUCCACUUUGCCCCAGCUUCAAGCUGGAAAGGAGGAGAACAUGAAACAUUGCUUGAAGACAAUGGCCGAGACAGCAGGUCCCACCCUGCACAGCCACCAGCAUCUCUCCCCUCAGCCCUGUCUCCUCUUCUGCAGUUGGGAUCUGCACAUUUAAGCCUGAAAUUGUCCUGUGAAGUGAAGUAUGAUCGGACAGCCUCUUUUCAGCUUUUAUGACAAUGGAGACAGAGGAAUUGUGGCUCUUGCCAAGGUCACAGGAUUGGAAUACAGAGCCAAGCCACCCCAGGACAUGCAAGAGCCUCAGAAGGGAAAAAAGCCCAGCAGGAAGGGAGAACAAGUAGCCUCUGUCCUGAAGUUGUAACAGCCAGGGGCCAGGAUGGAGGAGGAGGACCCCAUAAUCUGCCCAUCUGGGACUUGGCAGGGGACCUGGGAAAAUGUACCCCAACCCAUCCCUUAAGGGCCUUUGUCUUUGGCCCAUUGGCCUAGCAUCUACUUCUUCACCGUGUCUGUUCUUGUCACACCUAGUCAGGUCUGUUUGGGUCUGAGGUGCAUGGAACAUUCUGGGUAGGCCUCCAGCAAACGGAAGCUCUUCACCGUGUUUCCAGCCUGGGACCAAGGGCAGCAUACUGGCAAAGUUGCCAAAGCAAGGGACUCCAGCCUCUUAGGAGUUAAUGACUCCCUCUCCCCAGCUGUCCUCCCCUUGGUGCUCCUCUUCCUCCCUCCUCCUGCUCACAGCAGGCAGGGCCUAGACCCGGGAGCCAUGCUGCUGUGCUGUUGCCAGGGGAGCACGGAGGCAGAUCUGAGCUAUGCAGGGAAAAGGCCCAGCCUGUCAAAGUGUCUGAGAUGAACCGCCGCCGUCCCUGUGCAGCUGGGCUCAGACGUGUCUCAGCUCUUGUUCUGUGCCUGAGAAUGGCGAAACCCAGUGAGGUUCAAGGGCAAACUCGCUAUUCAUUAGUCAGGGGUUCUUGACGUCCCGUCUCUCCCAGGGAUGAGUUCCCCCCUCCUCUUUCUCCCCCUCCUAUGACACAUUCCUGGGUGCCUUUGGUGAGGACUGCACACCCUCCUCCUGCCUAGCCCCCUCUCCAAAGGCCCCUGAAUAAACUCCCCCCAAGGAGACCAGGCAGGGCAGAGACAAUGGCUGCAGGAAAUCAUUCAGGCGGGACAUGCUGGCCUGCCCUCCACCCAGUCCCCCUGUGGGCCCCACUCCCUUCUGAUUCAGGGCACCCUUGGGCCCCCAGCCUAUACAGGCCUGGACAGGAAGAAACCACUGGGAACCACCCUAAGGACAACAUGCUAGUCCAGUGCCAUUCUUCGCUGGCUCUGUGGGUGCCUUUGUGGCCUGUACCGACUGGCUGGCUAAUUUUGUGGUUUCUGUACCAUCACAUGCCUAUUUUAAGACACUCUCCAGCACUGUCGGUUAGGGAGUGUAAAUUUUGCAAUAUUUUCUGAAAUGUGGCAAUAUCAAAAUGUAAAAGGCACACAUACUUGGUCACAAACAAAUGGCACUAUUUACUCUGUGGGCAUAUUUGUAAAAGUUGCCAAAGAAUUAUAUACAAGGAUGUUCAUCAGAGCAUUUCUUUUGAAGAGUAAAGAAAUGGACAUGAACCUGUGGUCCGUUCAUACGGUGGAAUACCUAUGCAGCUGUAAAAAUCAGUGUGGUAGAUCUCCGUAUAUGAGUUGAUGUGGAAGGUUGGCCAGUUCACAUGAUAAGGUGAAUAGAAUAAGUUACAGAACAGGCUGUAGAGUAUGAUCUUAUUUGUAGAUGUUUAAAACUGAGUCAUAAGUAUGCUUAUAUACAGAUCGUUUCUGGAAGUAUGUACUGGAAGUCUACCUCUGGGGAGUGGGGAUGGGGGAGUGCACUCUUCUAUACUGUUAUAUUUUCUUUUCAUGCUCCUAAGGUACUUUUAUUGGAAGAUGUAAAGCGGUUCAAUG
ensembl:lncRNA MIR9-3HG MIR9-3 host gene